CUCCCGUUGUGGGAUGGGCGAUCUCGUUGCUCGCGGCGAUGAUCAUCGGGUCGGUGGUUCCCACCGUCAACGGGUGGCCA
rnacentral:tRNA from 1 species